CAAUAGCGUAUAUUAAAGUUGUUAGCAGUUAAAAAGCUACGUAGUUGGACUUCUGAUGUGGAGGGACGGUCCGCCUCACGGUGAGCACUGAUUCUUCACGUCUUCCUCUCGUAGUCUUUUGGCGCACUUAGUUGGGUGCCUUUAGAAUAUGGGACCUUUACUUUGAAAAAAUUAGAGUGCUCAAAGCAGGCUUAUGCCUGAAUAUUAGUGCAUGGAAUAAUUGAAUAGGACCUCGGUUCUAUUUUGUUGGUUUUCGGAACUCGAGGUAAUGAUUAAGAGGGACAGACGGGGGCAUUCGUAUUACGGUGUUAGAGGUGAAAUUCUUGGAUCGCCGUAAGACGAACUACUGCGAAAGCAUUUGCCAAGAAUGUUUUCAUUAGUCAAGAACGAAAGUCAGAGGUUCGAAGACGAUUAGAUACCAU
rnacentral:rRNA from 1 species